UACGGGGGGAGCAAGCGUUGUUCGGAUUUACUGGGCGUAAAGGGCGCGUAGGCGGUCGUGACAAGUCACUUGUGAAAUCUCCGGGCUUAACUCGGAACGGUCAAGUGAUACUGUCGGACUAGAGUACAGAAGGGGCAACUGGAAUUCUCGGUGUAGCGGUGAAAUGCGUAGAUAUCGAGAGGAACACCUGGCGGCGAAGGCGGGUUGCUGG
rnacentral:rRNA from 1 species